GACGAACGCUGGCGGCAUGCCUAACACAUGCAAGUCGAACGAGACCUUCGGGUCUAGUGGCGCACGGGUGCGUAACGCGUGGGAACCUGCCCUUAGGUUCGGAAUAACUCCCCGAAAGGGGUGCUAAUACCGGAUAAUGUCUUCGGACCAAAGAUUUAUCGCCUUUGGAUGGGCCCGCGUUGGAUUAGCUAGUUGGUAGGGUAAAAGCCUACCAAGGCGACGAUCCAUAGCUGGUCUGAGAGGAUGAUCAGCCACACUGGGACUGAGACACGGCCCAGACUCCUACGGGAGGCAGCAGUGGGGAAUAUUGGACAAUGAGCGAAAGCCUGAUCCAGCAAUGCCGCGUGAGUGAGGAAGGCCUUAGGGUUGUAAAGCUCUUUUACCCGGGAUGAUAAUGACAGUACCGGGAGAAUAGGCUCCGGCUAACUCCGUG
rnacentral:rRNA from 1 species